GCCGUGGUAGCUCAGACAGCAAGGGUGUCUGGCUCUUGACCAGAAGGUCCUGGGUUCAAUCCCAGGUAGGGGCA
rfam:Lepisosteus oculatus linkage group LG1, whole genome shotgun sequence.